UACGUAGGGAGCAAGCGUUGUCCGGAAUCAUUGGGCGUAAAGCGCGCGUAGGCGGCCCCGUAAGUCCGCUGUGAAAGUCAAAGGCUCAACCUUUGAAAGCCGGUGGAUACUGUGGGGCUAGAGUCCGGAAGAGGCGAGUGGAAUUCCCAGUGUAGUGGUGAAAUACGUAGAGAUUGGGAAGAACACCAGUGGCGAAGGCGGCUAUCUGGACGGUUUCUGACGCUAAGACGCGAAAGCGUGGGGAGCAAACAGG
rnacentral:rRNA from 1 species